AUGAAAAGCAGAGCGAGGGCUGGCCCGGUGGGUGUCAUGGAAUCAAAUUCCAGAUACUUAGGGUAUCAACAAUCCCAAGCUGGUUAUGGCCAUGUGCAUCCAAAAGAUGCUAGUUCUGCGACAGAGACUUUGGUAAAGAGAGGGCAAGGCACAGGAGCUAAAGGUCAGGAAGAUAAUUUGCAGCAAUUUCCAAGCCUUUUGCAAGAGGUUCUUCAAGGUUACAAUUUAGAUAGACGGUAUGGUAGACCGGAGCAGGCCUUUCCGUCCCAUCAGCAAGUUCAACAACAGUUUCAAACUAGACACCCGUAUGGCAUAACUGAGGCUUUGGCUCAUUCUGGACAGAUGGGUAGCACUUUAAAGCAUCCACAGACAAACCAGAGGCACGAAAGCGAGCCUAGUUUUACCACAGAUACUCAGUCCUCAGUGAGGUCUGAUGUGCCUAUUACUAAGAUAAUGCAAAAUGCUGACAAAAAUGACAUGGGCGUGUCCUAUUUGACACAGGCUACAGAGUCUCAGCAACCCCCAACAAAGCAUAUAAACUUAGCUGACUACUCUCUCCCACAGAGAAAAGCCUCAUCAAAUGUGUGCACUCCACCCUCUGCUGUGCAGGAACUCCUUUUGCAAGAGCCAGAGCCGCUAACCGGCAUCAUGGGUCAAACUGAGUCUCAAAAAUUAUCAGGCUCGAUAUUAGCCCCAUCAGAGCGUCGCUCUGUCAUCUGUGAUGUGUCACCAAACCGACGGGGCACUCCGGAAAGGGAAAGUGACAGAGAGAGGGAGCGGGAGAAAAGUGAAGCCUCUGUAAUUCAACAGCCAUUUUCCUCUCCAGCAGCUGCGAGUGAUAUGAGUAAAAAGGAUAUUAGAGAGAAACAAGUGGUGAAAAUUGAAAUGGCAUCAAAAAAGGUUGCCUUGGACCCUGCAAAUUUAACGCUUGCUCAUCGUGGUGGUGGUUGCGCUGAUGCUGAGAUGGAGUAUCAUUCCAAGUCUGGUCAUUCAUCUGUUGUGAUGAAUGCUGACCCCUACAGGCGAGGUAAUAUGGAUAUUCCACCCUUACCUUCUCAUCCUUUGAGCGCUAACCCUUUAUCUUCACCUUCAAGGCAUCAGUCUUACCUUCAUGGUGUGGAUUUAUCAACUGGCAGUGGCAGCAGCUUUCCUGCUUAUCGAUUUGGAGAUACACGAGAAGCCAAUAUGAUACCACGCAGUAACCCCCAUUUUCCCUCCCACCAUCCCUACCACAAUUUAUCCCCCCCAAGCGCAGUCCACAAAUAA
ensembl:lncRNA